UCUAUCCCCCACCCCGCCUGCCCAGUGUUCAGACUACCUGUUCCUCCAGCUAUAACUGAACAGUAGUCUGCACAUUGGUUAGGCUAGACUGGGAGCCAC
rnacentral:pre_miRNA from 12 species